rnacentral:rRNA from 1 species
UACGAAGGGGGCUAGCGUUGCUCGGAAUUACUGGGCGUAAAGGGCGCGUAGGCGGCACUGUUAGUCAGGCGUGAAAUUCCUGGGCUCAACCUGGGGACUGCGCUUGAUACGGCAGAGCUUGAGGAUGGAAGAGGGUCGCGGAAUUCCCAGUGUAGAGGUGAAAUUCGUAGAUAUUGGGAAGAACACCGGUGGCGAAGGCGGCGACCUGGGUAGAUACUGACGCUGAGGUGCGAAAGCGUGGGGAGCAAACAGG